AGCGAACGCUGGCGGCAGGCCUAACACAUGCAAGUCGAACGAACCCUUCGGGGUUAGUGGCGGACGGGUGAGUAUCACGUGGGAACGUGCCUUUAGGUUCGGAAUAACUCAGGGAAACUUGUGCUAAUACCGAAUGUGCCCUUCGGGGGAAAGAUUUAUCGCCUUUAGAGCGGCCCGCGUCUGAUUAGCUAGUUGGUGAGGUAAUGGCUCACCAAGGCUACGAUCAGUAGCUGGUCUGAGGGGAUGACCAGCCACAUUGGGACUGAGACACGGCCCAAACUCCUACGGGAGGCAGCAGUGGGGAAUCUUGCGCAAUGGGCGAAAGCCUGACGCAGCCAUGCCGCGUGGAUGAUGAAGGUCUUAGGAUUGUAAAAUCCUUUCACCGGUGAAGAUAAUGACUGUAGCCGGAGAAGAAGCCCCGGCUAACUUCGUGCCAGCCGCCGCCGUAAAAC
rnacentral:rRNA from 1 species